rnacentral:rRNA from 1 species
GACAGAGGGUGCAAACGUUGUUCGGAAUUACUGGGCGUAAAGCGAGUGUAGGCGGUUUCCUAAGUCAGGUGUGAAAGCCCCGGGCUCAACCCGGGAAGUGCACUUGAAACUGGGAGGCUAGAGUAUCGGAGAGGUUGGUGGAAUUCUCGGUGUAGAGGUGAAAUUCGUAGAUAUCGAGAGGAACACCGGUGGCGAAAGCGGCCAACUGGACGAAUACUGACGCUGAGACUCGAAAGCGUGGGGAGCAAACAGG